GCGCGCGGGGCCAUGGCGGCGCUUCCGGUGGGCGGAGGAAGUGCGCGCACCCGGGGCACUGAACUACGACUCCCGCGAGGCAGCGCGGCGGCAGCGGCCGUUUCUUUGGGCGCCAGCGGUGCUGCUUUUCCUCCUCCAGCCCUAAUCGAGUGAUUUGCAACCUGGGCAAUUUAGCAAGCAAGCCCAAAACAACUUGGUGAAAACAGGAAGGAUUCCAUCUUGGAGAUAAAAUUGCAUUUGAAAACCCAAUUCGUUAAAAAUCUCACUGCACCGUUGGGCCCUGAGACCCACCACCUGCUGACCCUCCCUGGCUUUUCCCGGAGGGGGACCACAGGAAACCUUCGAGGCCGGCUCAGCUCGACCUCGGGCGUCCUGAGCUCCUGGACUAUGUCGUCGUGUCUGGAGUGCUCCCGUGACCAGCCUUCCUUGCCUUGACCCUCCUGGGGCUGACCUUGUUGGUCGCUUUCCCAACCGCCAUCCCCUUCUUACUUGUGUACAUCAUAUUUGCUGACAUGACCCUGCAAUCUGUAGAUUCUUCCAGCAGAGCCUGGAAUCGAACUGUCAAAGGGAAAGUCUUGAUGGAAUGGUCUCUUGCUCCUGUGACUGCAUUCUGGCCAAGAAGAAAUCACAAGUCUGCUGGGGGCUUCUGGGAAAGUUUCUUCUCAAAAAAAAAAAAAGGACACAAAACACUAGUGUGUGCCCUUUUCUUGCCUCUGGGCAGUGUUGUCUGCAUGUAAUGUGCAGAGCAGUACCAGCGUGCCAGCGCCACGAGGAAGCCAGCCCAAGACGCAAAGUCACAUGCUGAGAAUGGCAGAGCAGAAAGGUGGGAAGAACCGCAGUCAACAACGUGGCCAUUUUUGAGUCAUAGAUCAAGUGAUACUGUGUGUGCCCACUUUGAGGCUUUCCUCAUGAUAGAACAGAUCAUCUUUUCGUUUUUAUUAUGGAAAAUGUUAACUAUAACAAGAGUAAAGUG